rnacentral:lncRNA from 1 species
UUCUAAAUAGAUAUUAAAGAUGAAAUUAGCUUUAUUUCUCUUGGCUCUGUCCAUUUUGGCUGUGAAUGAUGCUGUUGGAAAGACGAGGAAGUGCUAUUUCAAUCGAAGAUCCUAUAAUUCUGGUGCGUUGGUUAGGUCUUUUUAUCAAUGUUGUAUCCAAAUGAAAUGUGGAUCGAACGGAAAAGUUUAUUAUACCAGGUAUGGAGCUAGAUGCAAUUGCUGUCGCGAUCCUUAUUACUCGCUAUCAUUGAUCCGGAGUGGACAAUAUGGAAGACCAAGACGAUGUAUGAGAUAUUUCUGUCAUGAAGGGAGACUCAUUUGGACUUUCAAUUGGCAGUCAAGAAACGCUGGAGAAUGUUCGACCCGAAGAAUCGAUUCAAGCAGAGAAAAUUUGUUAAAUUAAAUAUUUUUUCAUCUUUUGAAAUAUAUAUUUUGUGUAAAUGCAAAAAAAAUCAUGCUUUUUCUUUGUAUUCGACACGAUAUGACAUUCU